GAUUAACGCUGGCGGCGUGCAUAACACAUGCAAGUCGAACGAUGAAACUUAACUGAUUUCUUCGGAAUGAUUUUAGGUGGAUUAGUGGCGGACGGGUGAGUAACGCGUGAGUAACCUGCCUUGGAGAAGGGGAUAGCCUUUGGAAACGAAGAAUAAUACCCUAUGAUAUGAUAAUAUCUCAUGAUAUUAUCAUCAAAGAUUUAUCGCUCUAAGAUGGACUUGCGUCUGAUUAGUUAGUUGGUGAGGUAACAGCUCACCAAGGCAGCGAUCAGUAGCCGGCUUGAGAGAGUGUACGGCCACAUUGGGACUGAGACACGGCCCAGACUCCUACGGGAGGCAGCAGUGGGGAAUUUUGCACAAUGGGGGAAACCCUGAUGCAGCGACGCCGCGUGAUUUAGAAGGCCUUCGGGUUGUAAAAAUCUUUUGUAUGGGAAGAAAAUGACAGUACCAUACGAAUAAGGACCGGCUAAUUACGUG
rnacentral:rRNA from 1 species